UCCUCAAUAGCUAAGUGGUAGCGUAAUCAGUUGUUAACUGACUGGUUGUAGGUUCAAAUCCUACUUGGGGAG
rnacentral:tRNA from 1 species